CUGGACUAUAACGUAGGCAGUUGUUGGGUCUUCCUGUCUCAAGCUUUUCCCUGCUUUCUCUAGUCCAUUCAUCUAAAGUGCAUGUCUGAUCAUGUCACCCUCUACUCAAUAAACUCCCUAUUGCUUCCAGGUGCAAAUACAAAAUGCUGUUUGGCAUUCAAAGACCUUCAUAAUCCAGCCAUCUCCUACAUUUCUGCAGGCCAAUUCAAUCCUGAAUGCUGUGAGUUUCCUGUUUCAGUAGUUACAGAUGGUACAUGUACCCAAGAUGGCUUUAUGGACUUUGAGGUCUACAGCCACCAAACUUGGCCAGCCUUGAACCUGGAAACGCUUCAGAGAUGGUCUCUACAGCAGUGACCUUAGGAGUCCAAGGUCUUCGAAUCUCACCCACAAGCUGGGGCUCUGGUCCCUUCUCCCAAGAGAUCUUAUGUCCUGAGGUCUCCAGUUCCUGAGGCUCUUUUCCCCCUACUCUUCCACAUCUGUGUAAGAGAGAAAUUUGUAAGAGAGAAAUCUUUGGCAGAAAUCGGCUGCAAAGUGGAAGGAUGGAGGAGGUGCAAGAGGAAAAAACUCAAGAUUCCAGUCAGAAGACAAGAAGCUGGGGGAGCUCCAACUGAUAUUGGGCAUACUCCUCCAGCUGAAAGCUUUGAGAAGAGGAUCUUCUAAGCUGGGCUCUGGAUAUCAACUGUUUCCCAGUGAAAUCUCUCACUCAGCUUAAGAUAUCAUAGGCUGGGACUUUGAAGGAAGCCAUUUACUAAGAAAUCUCUCCAAAGAUCUAUUCUCCAUCUCUCUUCUUAACUUGUCCUGGACUCCAUUACUCAAAUUAGGUUAGCCCAGGAAUAGGGACCAAAACAGCAGCUGACUGAAGAGAGAUCAAUGCCGAGAGCCUGGACCCCAAGAUUUUUUUUGGGGGGGUCAGUCUGCCAGUCAAUAGGGAUUUUUGCUACUCACUUUCCUCACCUAAUACCUUCAUCUCUCCCUUCCCUGAGUGAAUCCAAAUAAAAAGUGUUUACUACUUAGAUCGGGUCUGCCU
rnacentral:lncRNA from 1 species